AACAAUCUGCACCGCACAGCCAAGGGUAAACAAGAGGGGGAGGCGGGCCCUGGACACGCCACUCCCCUCUGACGUCACAAUGGAAUCGAAUCAGCGCGUCUGCACAGGGCUCCACAUGCUGUAAAACAAUGAAGGAACUUUACACUCACCUAACCGAUCCCCAGCUGCUGCAAUUAUGCUUUGGGCGGAGUUAGGGGCAUGGCCAAGUAUGAAAAAAAUCGCCGUGAUGCGCGCAGCACGAAUUGUCCCUUUUAGCGAUUUUCAAAAGUUGGGAGAUUUUUUUAAUUCUAAUUUCUGAACAUGAUUAUGGGGACGGCC